UCGGGUUGUAAAGCACUUUUGUUCGGGAAGAAAACUUCGAUCCUAAUAUGGUUGGAGGAUGACGGUACCGGAAGAAUAAGCACCGGCUAACUACGUGCCAGCAGCGCGGUAAUCGUAGGGUGCGAGCGUUAAUCGGAAUUACUGGGCGUAAAGCGUGCGCAGGCGGUCUGUUAAGACCGAUGUGAAAUCCCCGGGCUUAACCUGGGAACUGCAUUGGUGACUGGCAGGCUUGAGUGUGGCAGAGGGAGGUAGAAUUCCACGUGUAGCAGUGAAAUGCGUAGAGAUGUGGAGGAAUACCGAUGGCGAAGGCAGCCUCCUGGGCCAACACUGACGCUCAUGCACGAAAGCGUGGGGAGCAAACAGGAUUAGAUACCCUGGUAGUCCACGCCCUAAACGAUGUCAACUAGUUGUUGGGGAUUCAUUUCCUUAGUAACGUAGCUAACGCGUGAAGUUGACCGCCUGGGGAGUACGGUCGCAAGAUUAAAACUCAAAGGAAUUGACGGGGACCCGCACAAGCGGUGGAUGAUGUGGAUUAAUUCGAUGCAACGCGAAAAACCUUACCUACCCUUGACAUGGUCGGAAUCCUGCUG
rnacentral:rRNA from 1 species